rnacentral:rRNA from 1 species
UAGGGAAUCUUCCGCAAUGGGCGAAAGCCUGACGGAGCAACGCCGCGUGAGUGAUGAAGGUCUUCGGAUCGUAAAACUCUGUUAUUAGGGAAGAACAAAUGUGUAAGUAACUAUGCACGUCUUGACGGUACCUAAUCAGAAAGCCACGGCUAACUACGUGCCAGCAGCCGCGGUAAUACGUAGGUGGCAAGCGUUAUCCGGAAUUAUUGGGCGUAAAGCGCGCGUAGGCGGUUUUUUAAGUCUGAUGUGAAAGCCCACGGCUCAACCGUGGAGGGUCAUUGGCAACUUGAGAACUUGAGUGCAGAAGAGGAAAGUGGAAUUCCAUGUGUAGCGGUGAAAUGCGCAGAGAUAUGGAGGAACACCAGUGGCGAAGGCGACUUUCUGGUCUGUUACUGACGCUGAUGUGCGAAAGCGGGGGGAUCAAACAGG